UACGUAGGUGGCGAGCGUUAUCCGGAAUGAUUGGGCGUAAAGGGUGCGUAGGCGGUUUGAUAAGUUAGAGGUGAAAUGUUAGGGCUUAACCCUGAAACUGCCUCUAAUACUGUUGAUCUAGAGAGUAGAUGCGGUAGGCGGAAUGUAUGGUGUAGCGGUGAAAUGCUUAGAGAUCAUACAGAACACCGAUUGCGAAGGCAGCUUACCAAUCUAUAUCUGACGUUGAGGCACGAAAGCGUGGGGAGCAAACAGG
rnacentral:rRNA from 1 species